rnacentral:rRNA from 1 species
GAUGAACGCUGGCGGCGUGCCUAAUACAUGCAAGUCGAGCGAACAGACGAGGAGCUUGCUCCUCUGACGUUAGCGGCGGACGGGUGAGUAACACGUGGAUAACCUACCUAUAAGACUGGGAUAACUUCGGGAAACCGGAGCUAAUACCGGAUAAUAUAUUGAACCGCAUGGUUCAAUAGUGAAAGACGGUUUUGCUGUCACUUAUAGAUGGAUCCGCGCCGCAUUAGCUAGUUGGUAAGGUAACGGCUUACCAAGGCAACGAUGCGUAGCCGACCUGAGAGGGUGAUCGGCCCCCCUGGAACUGAGACACGGUCCAGACUCCUACGGGAGGCCGCCGUAGGGAAUCUUCCGCAAUGGGCGAAAGCCUGACGGAGCAACGCCGCGUGAGUGAUGAAGGUCUUCGGAUCGUAAAACGCUGUUAUUAGGGAAGAACAAAUGUGUAAGUAACUAUGCACGUCUUGACGGUACCUAAUCAGAAAGCCACGGCUAACUACGUG